AACGCGAAGAACCUUACCUGGGUUUGACAUAUAUAUGACCGCUCCCGAAAUGGAGUUUCUCUUCGGAGCAUAUAUACAGGUGCUGCAUGGCUGUCGUCAGCUCGUGCCGUGAGGUGUUCGGUUAAGUCCGGCAACGAGCGCAACCCAUAUCACUAGUUGCCAGCGCGUAAUGGCGGGGACUUUAGUGAGACUGCCCGAGUCAAUCGGGAGGAAGGCGUGGACGACGUCAAGUCAGUAUGGCCCUUACACCCAGGGCUGCACACGUGCUACAAUGGCUACUACAGAAGGCAGCAAUACCGCGAGGUGGAGCUAAUCCGAGAAAAGUAGCCCCAGUUCGGAUUGGAGUCUGCAACUCGACUCCAUGAAGUCGGAAUCGCUAGU
rnacentral:rRNA from 1 species